UACGAAGGGGGCUAGCGUUGUUCGGAAUUACUGGGCGUAAAGCGCACGUAGGCGGACUACCAAGUCAGGGGUGAAAUCCCGGGGCUCAACCCCGGAACUGCCUUUGAUACUGGUAGUCUCGAGUCCGGAAGAGGUGAGUGGAAUUCCGAGUGUAGAGGUGAAAUUCGUAGAUAUUCGGAGGAACACCAGUGGCGAAGGCGGCUCACUGGUCCGGUACUGACGCUGAGGUGCGAAAGCGUGGGGAGCAAACAGG
rnacentral:rRNA from 1 species